rnacentral:rRNA from 1 species
CCUACGGGAGGCAGCAGUGAGGAAUAUUGGUCAAUGGACGAGAGUCUGAACCAGCCAAGUAGCGUGAAGGAUGACUGCCCUAUGGGUUGUAAACUUCUUUUAUAUGGGAAUAAAACGUUCCACGUGUGGGAUUUUGUAUGUACCAUAUGAAUAAGGAUCGGCUAACUCCGUGCCAGCAGCCGCGGUAAUACGGAGGAUCCGAGCGUUAUCCGGAUUUAUUGGGUUUAAAGGGAGCGUAGGUGGAUUGUUAAGUCAGUUGUGAAAGUUUGCGGCUCAACCGUAAAAUUGCAGUUGAAACUGGCAGUCUUGAGUACAGUAGAGGUGGGCGGAAUUCGUGGUGCAGCGGUGAAAUGCUUAGAUAUCACGAAGAACUCCGAUUGCGAAGGCAGUUCACUGGACUGCAACUGACACUGAGGCUCGAAAGUGUGGGUAUCAAACAGGAUUAGAUACCCCAGUAGUC